UAAUACGGAGGGUGCAAGCGUUAAUCGGAAUUACUGGGCGUAAAGCGCACGCAGGCGGUUUGUUAAGUCAGAUGUGAAAUCCCCGGGCUCAACCUGGGAACUGCAUUUGAAACUGGCAAGCUAGAGUCUCGUAGAGGGGGGUAGAAUUCCAGGUGUAGCGGUGAAAUGCGUAGAGAUCUGGAGGAAUACCGGUGGCGAAGGCGGCCCCCUGGACGAAGACUGACGCUCAGGUGCGAAAGCGUGGGGAGCAAACAGGAUUAGAUACCCUGGUAGUCCACGCUGUAAACGAUGUCGAUUUGGAGGUUGUGCCCUUUGAGGUCGUGGCUUCCGGAGCUAACGCGUUAAAUCGACCGCCUGGGGAGUACGGCCGCAAGGUUA
rnacentral:rRNA from 1 species